rnacentral:misc_RNA from 1 species
GGGGUGGCCAAGGGCUGGUUUUGGGCCUAAACUGGUGAUUCAAGUUCAAGGUUCAGGAAGACUCGAAUUGACACCUCAGGGUCCCCCCUGUUUUGCUUCAAUUACUGUUUUUAUCUAAUCUACCUUUUAAUUUUUUAAAGAAAAAAAAUCUGGUCUGUCUUUGAACUGAACCCAGCCGGUUCUAGUCUGGUUUCAGUCCAGUUCAAAGCCAGUUUUGGUCAA